rnacentral:rRNA from 1 species
UGCAUAUUUUAGAGCUAACUCAAGUAAAAAAAACAAUUUAAAAUUACUUUCAAAUCCACUUUAUAAAACAUUUUAAAAAUUCUAACCAUUUAAAUAAAUUUAUUGUAACCCACCUCUUCCUUACAAAUGCUGCAUCUUGAUUUGACUUCUUUCUUAGUAAAGAAUCUUGACCAUUUAAAUUUCUUAUAAAAAACUCAACCACAACGAUAUACAAACUAAUUGAAAGUAAAACUAAUCGUGGAUUAUCAAUUACAGGGCAGGUUCCUCUGAAAAGACUAAAAUACCGCCAAAUUCUCUUUGUUUUCAAGAAUAUAUCUAAUACUAACCAGGUAAUAAAAUAUACACUUAAAAUAAUA